GGGCAUUGAGACCGUGAUUGUCAGAUGCCGGCUUGACUAUCUUAGCACGAUCCCGGUUGGUAGCUGUGUUCAUGGGCCUUCAUGGCCAGGGCAGUGUCGGUCCUUCCCUUGUAUGUGUCGGUCUUGUGUUCUUUGAUUCUUGUUCUUGUGUUCCUCUUGGUGCUGCCUGCGCAGGAUUGCUCGCAGUUUUCGGCCCUGUUAUAUAUUGGGAUUGUGUAUACUCCGACCUUUCUAUCUUCCGCUGUGGGAUCUUUAUCAUUCCGGAUUAGCUGGAAAAUUGUGGGACCUCUUUUUUUUAGCUAUUUUAAACUGUUUGUGUUUUAG
rnacentral:lncRNA from 1 species